rnacentral:rRNA from 1 species
ACUCAAUAGAUACCCGGGUAGUCCUUGCCGUAAACCAUGUAUACUUGAUGUAAUCGGGCUCAAACCCUGAUUGUGUCGAAAGCUAACGCGAUAAGUAUACCGCCUGAGGAGUACGCUCGCAAGGGUGAAACUCAAAAGAAUUGACGGGGGCCCGCACAAGCAGUGGAGCAUGUGGUUUAAUUCGAUGCAACGCGAAGAACCUUACCCAGAUUUGAAAUGCAGAGGAAUAUGGCAGAAAUGUCAUAGCCCGCAAGGGCCUUUGCACAGGUGCUGCAUGGCUGUCGUCAGCUCGUGCCGUGAGGUGUUGGGUUAAGUCCCGCAACGAGCGCAACCCUUAUCAUUAGUUGCCAACACGCGAGGUGGGGACUCUAAUGAGACUGCCUAGGUUAACUAGGAGGAAGGUGAGGAUGACGUCAAGUCCGCAUGGCCUUUAUAUCUGGGGCUACACACGUGCUACAAUGGUCGGUACAGAAGGCUGCAAGACCGCAAGGUGGAGCAAAUCCGUAAAGCCGAUCCCA